UACGGAGGGGACUAGCGUUGUUCGGAAUUACUGGGCGUAAAGCGCACGUAGGCGGAUUUGUAAGUCAGGGGUGAAAUCCCGGGGCUCAACCUCGGAACUGCCUUUGAUACUGCAAAUCUCGAGUCCGGAAGAGGUGAGUGGAAUUCCUAGUGUAGAGGUGAAAUUCGUAGAUAUUAGGAAGAACACCAGUGGCGAAGGCGGCUCACUGGUCCGGUACUGACGCUGAGGUGCAAAAGCGUGGGGAGCAAACAGG
rnacentral:rRNA from 1 species